UACGUAGGGUGCAAGCGUUGUCCGGAAUUAUUGGGCGUAAAGAGCUCGUAGGCGGUUUGUCGCGUCGGCUGUGAAAACUUGGGGCUCAACCCCAAGCCUGCAGUCGAUACGGGCAGACUAGAGUGUGGUAGGGGAGACUGGAAUUCCUGGUGUAGCGGUGAAAUGCGCAGAUAUCAGGAGGAACACCGGUGGCGAAGGCGGGUCUCUGGGCCAUAACUGACGCUGAGGAGCGAAAGCGUGGGGAGCGAACAGG
rnacentral:rRNA from 1 species